rnacentral:rRNA from 1 species
AGCAGCCGCGGUAAUUCCAGCUCCAAUAGCGUAUAUUAAAGUUGUUGCAGUUAAAAAGCUCGUAGUUGAAUUUCGGGGUUAGCAGGUCGGUCGUGCCAUUGGUAUGAACUGGUCUCGCUGAUCCCUCCCUCUUGACGAACUGUGAUGCCAUUAAUUUGGUGUCGCAGGGAAUCAGGACUGUUACUUUGAAAAAUUAGAGUGUUUAAAGCAGGCUCACGCUUGAAUACAUUAGCAUGGAAUAAUGAAAUAGGACGUUUGAUCCUAUUUUGUUGGCUUCUAGGAUUGACGUAAUGAUUAAUAGGGAUAGUUGGGGGCAUUAGUAUUCAAUUGUCAGAGGUGAAAUUCUUGGAUUUAUUGAAGACUAACUACUGCGAAAGCAUUUGCCAAGGAUGUUUUCAUUAAUCAAGAACGAAAGUUAGGGGAUCGAAGACGAUCAGAUACCGUCGUAGUCUUAACCAUAAACUAUGCCGACUAG